rnacentral:rRNA from 1 species
AGAGACAGCAGCAGCCACGGGAAUACGGAGGGUGCAAGCGUUAAUCGGAAUUACUGGGCGUAAAGCGCACGCAGGCGGUCUGUCAAGUCAGAUGUGAAAUCCCCGGGCUUAACCUGGGAACUGCAUUUGAAACUGGCAGGCUAGAGUCUUGUAGAGGGGGGUAGAAUUCCAGGUGUAGCGGUGAAAUGCGUAGAGAUCUGGAGGAAUACCGGUGGCGAAGGCGGCCCCCUGGACAAAGACUGACGCUCAGGUGCGAAAGCGUGGGGAGCAAACAGGAUUAGAUACCCGCGUAGUCCCUGUCUCUUAUAA